AAUGGGCGCAAGCCCUGAUCCCCCAUGCCGCGUGAGUGAUGAAGGCCCUAGGGUUCUAAAGCUCUUUCGCCUGUGAAGAUAAUGACGGUAGCAGGUAAAGAAACCCCGGCUAACUCCGUGCCAGCAGCCGCGGUAAUACGGAGGGGGUUAGCGUUGUUCGGAAUUACUGGGCGUAAAGCGCGCGUAGGCGGACUAUUAAGUCAGAGGUGAAAUCCCGGGGCUCAACCCCGGAACUGCCUUUGAUACUGGUAGUCUUGAGUUCGAGAGAGGUAAGUGGAAUUCCGAGUGUAGAGGUGAAAUUCGUAGAUAUUCGGAGGAACACCGGUGGCGAAGGCGGCUUACUGGCUCGAUACUGACGCUGAGGUGCGAAAGUGUGGGGAGCAAACAGGAUU
rnacentral:rRNA from 1 species